GGUGUCUGUGCAGCCUCGUACAAAUGCGAACUGUAACUUUCACCUCGGGUUGGCUGACAGGCUUGAUGAAGAGCAGCGAAAUCACUGAGCCACUUCGAUCAGUCUCGUCGUCGGUGGAUCCUUGCGGUCCUCGUCACUCUCAUCCUCGUCUGGGUCCACGAAUACUAAUCUUGCAGCCUCCACUGGAGUGAGUACAGGCGUCGGCAAGAUGAGUGCUCGAAAAUUUGGCACCGAAAUUGGAUCCCUCGUCAUUCCCGAUGAGCAAGGGGAUGAAGUUCUAGCAUUCGGCACGUGUUUUACUGCGAGGGCUUGACUUCUCCAAGGGCUGGAAAGCUGUUAACACCAGAUGUUACCAAAAACCACCCUCCCGACUGCUACUUCACGUGGGCCAAGAUAUGACGCAGGCCGGAUCGGUCUGAAUCUUAAGUCAAAUUAAAUUUUCAAUACAGUAACGUCUAGCUGCAUCAACCCCUAAAUUCUAUUCGCCCCACUUAGACGAGACCGGGCCACUUUCGUCAGACAAUUUUGAUCUUGUCACAAGCGAUUUUCGUCGCCGACCCUCUUCCGAGCCCUGAGAGGACAAGGGAUGCUGACUGUACUUCAGGUCGAGCACGGUUAGCCGCCUAGUGGAUAUGUCCUGUAUGGGGUGAAGUUAGCUGAGGAUAAAAAAAAAUUGAUUAUGACGCAAUCAAUCAUCACUCAGAAGAUCAUUGAUCAGACGUCAGGAUCACACUAAGCGAUUUGAGAAUGCUUAGGUCAUUUGGGUCAAGAAGGAAUCUUGAACGAAAGCCAAUGAUAAGAGAAAAAAAAGUACGUGCAGCUAAGGGCAGCCAAUAUCCUUAUAAAAUAGAGUGCCGAGUCAUCUUUCUUGGAUCUGGUAAAAAUCCUUACGUAAUCCAGGGUCACAGCUUCCCUUGGGCAAUUAUUCGGUCGUUCGAUACGCCGGAACGUUACCGGGUUCAAAAUCCGGAUACGGUGUGUUUGGCACAAUGGACUCCUGAGUCGAUAAUUUCAAAUUCAGUAGUGGGUAUUUCAACCCUUGUAGCAAGGGUUAAGACCGGCCGUGCCCUUAUAAAACAAAGGGAACCUAGCUUAGCGCGGAUAACGCGUUCCGCAAGUGAUGAGAAUGCCACGGGAGAAGGAGAUACGUAAAAUUUGUUUAGAUAAAUCAAAAAAAAAACAUCUCGUGCCAGAAUUUAUCUUACGGAGAUAAAUUUUAGCCUAAGAUUUUCGAGGGAUGAAUUCCGCAAGAAUUCGCACCCUUAAGCCAUUAAGGCGACGAUUUAUUUGUACGCCGGGACAAUUAAGUACUUUCCAAUCGAAGACACCCGUUAUCUGACAUUUUCACGGUCCCCUCGCUUCGAAUAUUAAUAAUCUAAUGUAUAUCUAUAACGACGCAGAUAAACUCCAAAAUCCUCAUAAUUUCUCUAUUCCGUUCCGCCACGUGCGUUCGUCCCCUGCGUUAACACCAGACACAGAUUUUAAAGAUUCGCGCGAAACAGUCUAGAUUGGAGGGUUGCGUGUCGGCCGCCAUGUCUAACUAGCAAUUAGUAUAGGAAUUGCAUAGGGGUCGUUUCGCUAAUUGGAUUUAUCAACAGAUAGGUCAUUGAUUGUCAGAAGUCUCGAAGGAGGGACGAGGGAGUGGGUGGGUGUAAGGGGCGAAGGUUUAGAGGUGCUCGGAGCAUCGUUUGAUCGUCGACACAUGCAUUGGGAAUUUUUAGGAAAGCCGUAAAAAAAAAAAGGUGUUCCCACUAUUUCGAAAUCCUUUGAAAGCGAUAGUACAGUCAGCAGCAUGAGUUUACUAAACGCCGUGACGUCUGAUAGCAGAAUGAGAAUAGGGACAAUGCAAGGGAAGACAUUGACAAAUGACGUCACGGUAGGACAGAAAUUUCCGGCAAGGAUCGACCUGGGGGAUAUUGAUGGGUGUUACCUCUCGAUAAUGACUGGUGGGUUCGGUGCCAAGGUACUGCUUAAUGAUCUUACCAGCAGGGGAUGAACGACGUAUAUACAUACAGAGAGGGGUUGGUAUACUCGGGGCGUAACUAAGGGUUGAUUUCAGAAGAUAUCGCCGUAGGACAAGGAUGUGCAUCGGAGGAGAGAUGAUGGAGGAAAGAAAAAGAGGGGGGAUGAAGGGGGAUGAUUCCACCUCCCCAACCCCUUGAAAACCACUAAAUCAAUAGGAACGUCAUCGGUAACAAGUUUUACACGUCCCUUGACAAUCCACAACGAGGGUGCCUUUCGAGUGACAGAGGGAGGAAACAGUGAGACCAUAUUGGUUCAAUAGGAAUUAGGGGAUGUAGCUGCUCCCGUAUAGGCAGGAUCUUGUACUGUGAAUUUUUAUGAGAAAACUUUCCUCUCUUAAACACCAUACCGGUUUUGGGUAUUGUACGAAGAUUUGUUAACCGUGUUAUAUUUUUCAGAUUCGAUACUUGGCCGAUAGUCGAGGAGACAAAGAGAUCAGGAAGAGGAAUCUCGUAUACAAAGUGUUACGUAAGCAGCGUUGAGUCUCGAGAAAUUGUCCUGUCGUAAGAAGAUGUUAGGGACCACUCAGCAUCCUUCCUUAGAUUCCCCUUUGUCUCGGCCCUCCUCACUUAGAAAUUCACGGCACGGCCGUCGCACUGCGACCCUUUUGAAUUACGUAGUGGUCGAUUAGGAUCCCUGCAGU